rnacentral:rRNA from 1 species
GACGAACGCUGGCGGCGUGCUUAACACAUGCAAGUCGAACGGAAAGGCCCUGAGAUUGUGCGGUGCUCGAGUGGCGAACGGGUGAGUAACACGAGAGUAACCUGCCCUUGACUUUGGGAUAACUUCAGGAAACUAGAGGCUAAUACCGGAUAGGAGCUCCUGCUGCGUGGUGGGGGGUGGUAAGUUUCGGCGGGUGGGGAUGUACUCGCGGCUUAUCAGCUGGUUGGUGGGGGAGUGGCUUACCAAGGCUUUGACGGGUAGCCGCCCUGGGAGGGUGACCGGCCACAUUGGGCCUGAGGGACGGCCCAGACUGCAACGGGAGGCAGCGGUGGGGAAUAGUGCACGAUGGGCGGAAGCCGGAUGCAGCACCGCCGCGUGGGGGAUGACGGCCUUCCGGUAGUAAAACGCUUUCGCCUGUGACCAAGCGUGAGUGACGGUACUGGAUAAAGAAGCAACGGCUAACUACGUG